rnacentral:rRNA from 1 species
CGCCAGACUCCUACGGGAGGCAGCAGUGGGGAAUAUUGCACAAUGGGGGAAACCCUGAUGCAGCGACGCCGCGUGAGCGAUGAAGUAUUUCGGUAUGUAAAGCUCUAUCAGCAGGGAAGAAAAUGACGGUACCUGACUAAGAAGCCCCGGCUAACUACGUGCCAGCAGCCGCGGUAAUACGUAGGGGGCAAGCGUUAUCCGGAUUUACUGAGUGUAAAGGGAGCGUAGACGGCUGUGCAAGCCAGAUGUGAAAGCCCGGGGCCCAACCCCGGGACUGCUCUGGAAACUGCGGCGCUGGAGUACGGGAGGGGCAGGCGGAAUUCCUAGUGUAGCGGUGAAAUGCGUAGAUAUUAGGAGGAACACCGGUGGCGAAGGCGGCCUGCUGGACUGUAACUGACGUUGAGGCUCGAAAGCGUGGGGAGCAAACAGGAUUAGAUACCCUUGUA